rnacentral:rRNA from 1 species
UACGUAGGUGGCAAGCGUUGUCCGGAUUUACUGGGCGUAAAGGGAGCGUAGGCGGAUUUUUAAGUGGGAUGUGAAAUACCCGGGCUCAACCUGGGUGCUGCAUUCCAAACUGGGAAUCUAGAGUACAGGAGGGGAGAGUGGAAUUCCUAGUGUAGCGGUGAAAUGCGUAGAGAUUAGGAAGAACACCAGUGGCGAAGGCGACUCUCUGGACUGUAACUGACGCUGAGGCUCGAAAGCGUGGGGAGCAAACAGG